GGCUGGCUCAGUUGGUUAGAGUGUGGUGCUGAUAACGCCAAGGUCACAGGUUCGAUCCCCAGAAGGGACA
rnacentral:tRNA from 1 species